UGCGUAGGCGGUUCCGCAAGUCCGCUGUGAAAUCCCCGGGCUCAACCUGGGAAUGGCAGUGGAAACUAGGGGACUUGAAUCUGGCAGGAGGGGGGUGGAAUGCCACGUGUAGCAGUGAAAUGCGUAGAGAUGUGGCGGAACACCGAUGGCGAAGGCAGCCCCCUGGGCUGAGAUUGACGCUCAGGCACGAAAGCGUGGGGAGCAAACAGGAUUAGAUACCCUGGUAGUCCACGCCCUAAACGAUGAUCACUAGGUGUUGGGGAAGCGAUUUCUCAGUACCGCAGCUAACGCGUGAAGUGAUCCGCCUGGGGAGUACGGUCGCAAGAUUAAA
rnacentral:rRNA from 1 species